UUUUUUUUUUUUUUUUUAGGGAGAGGGCUACAACUCCUUAGGAUCUCCGUAAUGGUGCAAAUGCGGGAGUGAUUCACUCCCGCAACAUUUGCGCUCAUUCUAAACAUUUCCUGACUUUCUUUACGUAAAUAAAAUGAUAUUCUAUGUUUCUUAGUCAAUAUAUAAAUUUACAACCUACAACUUUAGAUUUGUGAGGCUCUAUUCUACCGUUUUCAACAAUUUCGAUAAAUCCCAGUUUCUCGAUUCAUAUUUGUGCGCCAUGUUUGAUGUACUGAAGUUUCAACUUCCGGUUGUCAAGUCAUUUGCAUAUGCCAUAUAAGGUGGUAUUUACAUCAAUGGACAAGUAUGGAGGCGAAAGCUAUUUCGUCGGUAUUGAGAAGGUUUGAAUUUAAUAUCAAGUUAAAAACCGAACAGCAGAGUGUAAAUUCUUUCUGCAACAAUAUGAUUUUCCUUCCUUUGUCGAAGUGGCUCGAAUAACUACAUUUUCGCGCUGAUUGUCAAUGUUUAGGCUUUUCAUUAGAUCCACCUACGAGAUCUCGCGAUAACAAGCAUGGCGGAGCAGACGAGAGUUUUGCAUGCUGUACAUUAUAUUUAAUGAAAAACACCUUUAUUAGACAUGCCCGAGCACAAAGUUGGUACUCCUUUUGGUGUAAACAACAUUUGGGACUAAUACACAGAGUUUAUUAUCGGUUAUUCAUAAAAUUAUUUUGCACCAUUACGGAGAUCCUAUGGAAUUGUAGCCCUAUCCCGAAAACGUCAGAAUAAAAAAAAAUUGGAUUGGGCUACAUUAUUGCAGCUAAUGGACUACCCAUGGAAUGAAGAUGUUCCCUAUCGAUUUUGGGGUCAAAGGUCAAGCGCACUGGACAUCUCGAAGUAGCAAUAUGGUUUCCGGGCUCUAAAGCGUUAUCCUUUCCACCUACAGUCACCAUAUCAUACAUAUGGACUACCCAUGGGAUGAAGAUAUUCCCUGUUGAUUUUGGGGUCAAAAGGUCAAAGGUCACGCGCACUGGACAUCGAAGUAGCAAUAUGGUUCGGUUUGUCAUGCCAUUUGUUUUUUACACUCAGAAAAGAGGUAGUUUAUACCUAUUACCAACACCCUUUGGGAGAUUGGGGUAAGCGGGGGGUAUUCUUAGUGAGCAUUGCUCACAGUACCUCUUGUUUUUUUCUUCCUUGAAUGAAAGGUGAAGAUCAAUCUCAUAACUCCUAUAAGCAACACAAAAUAGAUAGUUGGGCAAACAUGGACCCCUGGACACACCAGAGGUGGGAUCAGGUGCCUAGGAGGAGUAAGCAUCCCCUGUCGACCGGUCACACCCGCCGUGAGCCCUAUAUCCUGAUCAGGUGUAAAGUUCUUCAUAUUUAGCCUACGUUCUGGCAUAACCGUCUACAGAAUGGAUAAUAACCGUCUACAGAAUGGAUAAUAACCGUCUACAGAAUUAAUAAUAACCGUCUACAGAAUGGAUAAUGGAGACAAAGUACAUAACCGUCUACAGAAUGGAUAAUGGAGACAAAGUUAUGUCCCUAAUGGAAAGACCGAGGUUCUUUGAAUUUAGGAACUUUUUUAAAAAGUUAUUUAAGGUCCUCAUUUUCACCUAUAUCAACAUCACUAAUAAAGGCAUGUCCAUGUGGAAUAUAGUUGAAAGAAGAACAAGAACAUGUAUGGGGACUAUGUUUAAGAUGACCUAUAUAUAGGCAUUGUAGAGGUUGUAAUUCAAAGGUUUGGAUGCAAUAGUAAAAGUGCAUUUGCAGGAUAUACAGGGUGUAGACUUGAACUUGAAAUUUGCUGAAAUACAAUACUGAACUUUGAGCUUAUGUUGACAGGAUUUUUUCCCUUGUUAGUAAAAAUAAGUUUAGUAACUGGCGGCAUGAUUCGGAAGGAUUAUUAUCCAUAACCCACGGUAGUUUAAAGAGUAUGUGAAGGGCAACAUCCAUAAUUAUAAAACUCAGUCUGUAUUCUAAUGUUGAAAAAUCCAAGUAUGGACUAGCUUUGGCUUCUUCAAAUAGCGUAUUCAAAAUUUUCACUGGAACAGCUGUGUACCUAUAUGACGUAGCUGUGUACCUAUAUGAUGUGGACAUAACUGUCUGUUGACGUAAGUGUACUAGUAUCAAGAGUGGCGCCUUGUAUAUUGAGUCUUUUACAUAAACGAUGUCUA